rnacentral:rRNA from 1 species
GACGAACGCUGGCGGCGUGCUUAACACAUGCAAGUCGAACGGAAAGGCCCUGCUUUUGUGGGGUGCUCGAGUGGCGAACGGGUGAGUAACACGUGAGUAACCUGCCCUUGACUUUGGGAUAACUUCAGGAAACUGGGGCUAAUACCGGAUAGGAGCUCCUGCUGCAUGGUGGGGGUUGGAAAGUUUCGGCGGUUGGGGAUGGACUCGCGGCUUAUCAGCUUGUUGGUGGGGUAGUGGCUUACCAAGGCUUUGACGGGUAGCCGGCCUGAGAGGGUGACCGGGCACUGUGAGGAUGAGAAGCGACACCGGCAGUGAGGGGAGGCAGAGGUUGGGAAGAGAGACCGAUGGGCGGACGCCUGGAGCAGCGGCGACAGGGGGAGGAAGACGGGUGUCGGGUGGUAAGCAGCUCUCGGGUGGGGAAAAGAGGUUGAGACGGUAGGAAGGAAAGAAACACCGUAUAACGAUGUUCCAGCGUCCGCAGAAAAGAAAGAACAGCCUAAUUUGAUC